rnacentral:rRNA from 1 species
GUGGGGAAUAUUGGGCAAUGGGCGCAAGCCUGACCCAGCAACGCCGCGUGAGGUAAGAAGGCUUUCGGGUUGUAAACCUCUGUCCUUGGUGACGAAACAAAUGACGGUAGCCAAGGAGGAAGCCCCGGCUAACUACGUGCCAGCAGCCGCGGUAAUACGUAGGGGGCGAGCGUUGUCCGGAAUUACUGGGCGUAAAGGGUGCGUAGGUGGCCUGUUAAGUUGGAUGUGAAAUACCCGGGCUUAACUUGGGGGGUGCAUCCAAAACUGGGAGGCUAGAGGGCAGGAGAGGAAAGCGGAAUUCCUAGUGUAGCGGUGAAAUGCGUAGAUGUUAGGAGGAACACCAGUGGCGAAGGCGGCUUUCUGGACUGUAACUGACACUGAGGCACGAAAGCGUGGGGAGCAAACAGGAUUAGAAACCCUUGUAGUCC